UUCCGACCCCGUCUGUCGAACCUAUCGCCUCUAUUCCUCAUCCUUCCCAUCUCAACAUCGUGAAAUUCAUCUUCGCCCAUAUCACUCCCAUAUCCAUACUUCUCUCACCUUUCCCUCCUAGGCUCCCAUCUAUCCGGUCCUCUGGCAUUAGAUACAUCCACUCGAUGCCUCCGACUAAGAUUAGCCACCGAUGUAUCUAAUCUAUUCAUCCAAGCCUCCUGCUUCUCCAACCUAUCUCUCACAUCUCCAA
rnacentral:lncRNA from 1 species